rnacentral:rRNA from 1 species
AACGAACGCUGGCGGCAGGCCUAAUACAUGCAAGUCGAACGCACCGCAAGGUGAGUGGCAGACGGGUGAGUAACGCGUGGGAAUCUUCCUUGCAGUACGGAAUAACUCCGGGAAACCGGUGCUAAUACCGUAUACGCCCUUUGGGGGAAAGAUUUAUCGCUGCAAGAUGAGCCCGCGUCGGAUUAGCUAGUUGGUGGGGUAAUGGCCUGCCAAGGCGACGAUCCGUAGCUGGUCUCAGAGGACGAUCAGCCACACUGGGACUGAGACACGGCCCAGACUCCUACGGGAGGCAGCAGUAGGGAAUAUUGGACAAUGGGCGAAAGCCUGAUCCAGCCAUGCCGCGUGAGUGAAGAAGGCCUUAGGGUUGUAAAGCUCUUUUGGCGGGGACGAUAAUGACGGUACCCGCAGAAUAAGCUCCGGCUAACUUCGUGCCAGCCGCCGCCGUAAGAC